rnacentral:rRNA from 1 species
GACGAACGCUGGCGGCGUGCUUAACACAUGCAAGUCGAACGGAAAGGCCCUGCUUUUGUGGGGUGCUCGAGUGGCGAACGGGUGAGUAACACGUGAGUAACCUGCCCUUGACUUUGGGAUAACUUCAGGAAACUGGGGCUAAUACCGGAUAGGAGCUCCUGCUGCAUGGUGGGGGUUGGAAAGUUUCGGCGGUUGGGGAUGGACUCGCGGCUUAUCAGCUUGUUGGUGGGGUAGUGGCUUACCAAGGCUUUGACGGGUAGCCGGCCUGAGAGGGUGACCGGCCACAUUGGGACUGAGAUACGGCCCAGACUCCUACGGGAGGCAGCAGUGGGGAAUAUUGCACAAUGGGCGGAAGCCUGAUGCAGCAACGCCGCGUGCGGGAUGACGGCCUUCGGGUUGUAAACCGCUUUCGCCUGUGACGAAGCGUGAGUGACGGUAAUGGGUAAAGAAGCACCGGCUAACUACGUGCCAGCAGCCGCGGUGAUACGUAGGGUGCGAGCGUUGUCCGGAUUUAUUGGGCGUAAAGGGCUCGUAGGUGGUUGAUCGCGUCGGAAGUGUAAUCUUGGGGCUUAACCCUGAGCGUGCCUUCGAUACGGGUUGACUUGAGGAAGGUAGGGGAGAAUGGAAUUCCUGGUGGAGCGGAGGAAUGCGCAGAUAUCAGGAGGAACACCAGUGGCGAAGGCGGUUCUCUGGGCCUUUCCUGACGCUGAGGAGCGAAAGCGUGGGGAGCGAACAGGCUUAGAUACCCUGGUAGUCCACGCUGUAAACGGUGGGUACUAGGUGUGGGGUCCAUUCCACGGGUUCCGUGCCGUAGCUAACGCUUUAAGUACCCCGCCUGGGGAGUACGGCCGCAAGGCUAAAACUCAAAGGAAUUGACGGGGCCCCGCACAAGCGGCGGAGCAUGCGGAUUAAUUCGAUGCAACGCGUAGAACCUUACCUGGGUUUGACAUGGAUCGGGAGUGCUCAGAGAUGGGUGUGCCUCUUUUGGGGUCGGUUCACAGGUGGUGCAUGCCUGUCGUCAGCUCGUGUCGUGAGAUGUUGGGUUAAGUCCCGCAACGAGCGCAACCCUUGUUCACUGUUGCCAGCACGUUAUGGUGGGGACUCAGUGGAGACCGCCGGGGUCAACUCGGAGGAAGGUGGGGAUGACGUCAAGUCCUCAUGCCCCUUAUGUCCAGGGCUUCACGCAUGCUACAAUGGCUGGUACAGAGAGUGGCGAGCCUGUGAGGGUGAGCGAAUCUCGGAAAGCCGGUCUCAGUUCGGAUUGGGGUCUGCAACUCGACCUCAUGAAGUCGGAGUCGCUAGUAAUCGCAGAUCAGCAACGCUGCGGUGAAUACGUUCCCGGG